CGGAGGAUCCAAGCGUUGUCCGGAUUUAUUGGGUUUAAAGGGUGCGUAGGCGGAUCUUUAAGUCAGUGGUGAAAGCCUGCAGCUUAACUGUAGAACAGCCAUUGAAACUGAAGAUCUUGAAUUAGGUUAAAGUAGGCGGAAUGUAUCAUGUAGCGGUGAAAUGCUUAGAUAUGAUACAGAACACCGAUAGCGAAGGCAGCUUGCUGAACCUAUAUUGACGCUGAGGCACGAAAGCGUGGGGAGCAAACAGGAUUAGAUACCCUGGUAGUCCACGCCCUAAACGUUGAUUACUCGUUGUUGGCGAUAUACUGUCAGCGACCAAGCUAAAGCGUUAAGUAAUCCACCUGGGAAGUACGACCGCAAGGUUG
rnacentral:rRNA from 1 species